rnacentral:rRNA from 1 species
CCAAUCGAACCCGGAGAUAGCUGGUUCUCCUCGAAAUAGCUUUAGGGCUAGCCUCAUGGAUCAUUGAUGGGGGUAGAGCACUGAAUGUGCGCGGGGGCCACAAAGCCUACCAAACGCUAUCAAACUUCGAAUACCAUACAAUGCAGACCAUGGGAGUCAGUCCGCGAGAGAUAAGUUCCGCGGGCAAAAGGGGAACACCCCAGAUCAACCGCUAAGGUCCCCAAGUUCACGUUAAGUGGAGAAGGAUGUGGAAUUGCACAGACAACCAGGAUGUUGGCUCAGAAGCAGCCACACAUUUAAAGAGUGCGUAAUAGCUCACUGGUCGAGUGAUUGUGCGCCGAAGAUGUCCGGGGCUAAACGUGACACCGAAGCGAUGGGUGCAUCUGAAAGGAUGCGCGGUAGAGGAGCAAUGUGCAGAGGCAGAAGCCGUAUCGAGAGGCACGGUGGACACUGCACAAGAGAGAAUGCCGGUAUGAGUAGCGAGAGGCAUGCGAGAAACAUGCCCGUCGAAAGCCCAAGGUUUCCUGGGGAAGGUUCAUCCGCCCAGGGUAAGUCGGGGCCUAAGCCGAGGACGGAAGUCGUAGGCGAUGGACAGCAGGUGUAGAUUCCUGCACUACCGAUGGAAUGAAGCAGUGACACAGAAGGAUAACUCGAGCAGGGUGAUGGUCAACCCUGUGCAAGCAUUGAGGUUGGGUUGUAGUGAAGUACGCAAUCCUAUAAGCUGAGGUGUGAUGCGGACCGAAAUUUCAGUAGGGAAGCGAGUGAGUUCACGCUGGCGAGAAAAGCUGCUAGUAUAUCCAAAGGUACCCGUACCGGAAACCGACGCAGGUGGGCGAGGAGAGAAUCCUGAGACGAACGGGAGAACCCUUGUUAAGGAACUCGGCAAAAUGACCCCGUAACUUCGGGAUAAGGGGUGCCUGCGAGAGCAGGCCGCAGAGAAUAGUCACAAGCGACUGUUUAGCAAAAACACAGGUAUCUGCGAAAGCGAGAGCUGACGUAUAGGUGCUGACACCUGCCCGGUGCUGGAAGGUUAAGGGAACAUGUUAGAGCAAUCGAAGCAUCGAACCGAAGCCCCAGUAAACGGCGGCCGUAACUAUAACGGUCCUAAGGUAGCGAAAUUCCUUGUCGGGUAAGUUCCGACCCGCACGAAUGGUGUAACGACUUGUGAGCUGUCUCAACAGGGGGCCCGGUGAAAUUGAAGUAUGGGUGAAGAUGCCCAUUACCCGCGACUGGACGGAAAGACCCCGUAGAGCUUUACUGCAGCCUGAUAUUGAGUUUCGGUAACUGAUGCACAGGAUAGGUGGGAGUCUGAGAGACAUGGGUUUCGGCUCAUGUGGAGACGCUGUUGGGAUACCACUCUUCGGUUACUGAAAUUCUAACAUAGCUCUGUGAAACCAGAGGAUGGACAGUGUCAGGUGGACAGUUUGACUGGGGCGGUCGCCUCCGAAAGAGUAACGGAGGCGCCCAAAGGUACCCUCAGAAUGGAUGGAAACCAUUCGAAGAGCGCAAAGGCAGAAGGGUGCCUGACUGCGAGAUUGACAAAUCGAGCAGAGACGAAAGUCGGGCUUAGUGAUCCGGCGGUAUUGAGUGGAAAAGCCGUCGCUUAACGGAUAAAAGCUACCUCGGGGAUAACAGGCUGAUCUCCCCCAAGAGUCCACAUCGACGGGGAGGUUUGGCACCUCGAUGUCGGCUCGUCGCAUCCUGGGGCUGAAGCAGGUCCCAAGGGUUUGGCUGUUCGCCAAUUAAAGCGGCACGCGAGCUGGGUUCAGAACGUCGUGAGACAGUUCGGUCCCUAUCCAUCGUGGGCGUAGGAGUCAUGAGAGGAGCUGUUCCUAGUACGAGAGGACCGGAAUGGACGCACCACUGGUGCAACUGUUGUCGUGCCAACGGCAUAGCAGGGAAGCGAAGUGCGGAUGGGAUAAACGCUGAAGGCAUCUAAGCGUGAAGCCCACCUCAAGAAUAAGACUCCACAAUAGACCCCUGGAGGACUACCAGGUAGAUAGGUCAUCGGUGGAAGCGCUGUAAGGCGUGUAGCUUGAUGAUACUAAUCGGUCGAAAGCUUCAUUUA